AUGGCGACGGCGGUGUCGGCGCCCGUCUUCACGGCGACGGUGCGGGUCUCCAAUAUCCCGCCCUCCGCCGUCGCUAAAGAGCUCCUAGCAUUCUUCGAUUCCGCCGUCGCCGCUGCCGGCGAAGCCUACGCCUGCGAGAUCGCCGCCGCCCGACGCGGCUGGUUAAGUCGAUGCGAUGGGAGCGUUCAGUUCGAUUCCACCGCCACCGCAACCCUCGCCGCCGAACUCGCCUCCUCCGGUCGCCUACCGCGCUUCCUCGGCUCCCUCCUCUCCGUCUCCCCUGCCCCCGCGGACCUUCUCCCCCGCGCGCCCGACCUUUCUCUCCGCGUGGCCGACGCCCGCCUCCUUGUCGGCAACCGCGUCGCCGAGCGCGAAUUCGAGGCGGCUGACUCUUGGGACAGCGUCCGCGUGGAGGUCAUCCCGGGGAAGCGGCGGAUAGACCUGUACCUGAAUCACGAUUCCCAGAGGUACAAGCUUGAGGUCUUCUUCGAGGACAUCAGGAACUGCUACCAGUGCAGCUUCGAUGGGGCCGGUGCCAUCUUGCUUCAGCUCAUGUAUUCACCAAGGAUAUGCACAACAAUUUCUGGGCCUGCAGUUUAUUCAAGGUUCUCGGAUGACCGCUUUCAUGCAUGCAAGGAGGAUGCGAAGUUUACCUGGGUCAGAGCACUGGAUUUUACACCCAACCACUCUUUUGGGAAGUGUUCAACUCUUGCCCUCAUACUUGAUGAAGGUGCAUCGGUGUCAUUUAUUCUCAACAGCUUGCCUUUGUCAGGAGAAUUAGGGGAAUUGGUCAUUUCUUCAACGGAAUUUUUUGGCCCGUUGUCCAAAGUCGUUCCCCUUGUUGAUUGCCCAAGUGGUUGUUCAGUGCCGUAUGAAGUUCUUUUUCGUCUCAAUUCUCUUGUUCACAUGGGGAAGAUAGUUGCCAAAGAUGUUAAUGCUGAUCUGUUUAAAGCUCUUGAAGAAAUACCAGUUCAUAUUUCAAGGAGGGUUUUUGAGAAAAUGAGCAAGCUAGAGUUUACAUGCUAUGAACCUUUGCGAUUCAUCCAGCAGGAGGCUCAUAGCAGGAAGAGGGGCCACGAUGCUUUGCUUUCCAGUAAGACUGAAGGUGAAGGAAAGUUAAUGAUGUGUUACAGAAUUCACAUUACUCCAGCCAAAAUAUACUGCGUGGGACCUGAGGAAGAAGUUUCAAAUUAUGUGGUUAAGCGUCACAAACAGUAUGCUUCUGACUUUGCUAGAGUUACUUUUGUCGACGAAGACUGGAGUAAGCUUUUUCCAGAUGCUAUCUCAGCUAGAACUGGACGAGGGUUCUUUUCUCAACCCUUGAAAACUGGCCUAUAUUAUCGUAUUUUAUCCAUCCUGAAAGAAGGAUUUUCCAUUGGUCCAAAGAAGUAUGAAUUCCUGGCCUUCUCAGCAAGUCAACUUCGUGGAAGUUCUGUUUGGAUGUUUGCUUCUAAUGAUUCCCUGAAGGCCGAGGAUAUAAGAAGGUGGAUGGGCAACUUUGAAGAUAUCCGUUCAGUAUCUAAAUGUGCGGCUAGAAUGGGCCAGCUGUUCAGCUCCUCCAGACAAACACUUGAAAUCCUACCAUGGGAUGUAGAAGAGAUUCCAGAUAUUGAAGUCACAACUGAUGGCAGUAAAUACAUAUUUUCUGAUGGUAUCGGGAAGAUCUCUGAUAGACUUGCUAAAGAAAUGGCUUGCCGAAUUGGAUUAGACUAUACUAACCCUCCUUCAGCUUUUCAAAUAAGGUAUGGUGGCUACAAAGGAGUUGUUGCUGUGGACCCUGAUUCCUUUCGUAAUCUUUCUCUGCGACCUAGUAUGAAGAAAUUCGAAUCAAAGAGCAGAAUGUUUAACAUUACAAGUACCAGCAAAUCCCAACCAUGCUAUAUGAAUCAUGAAGUUAUCUCUCUCCUUUCAACUUUGGGGAUAAGAGAUGAGAUAUUUGAGUCGAUGCAACAAAAUGAUAUGCGUGAAUUAGAUGAAAUGCUGACCAACAGAGAAGCUGCUCUCUCUGUUCUGGGGAAAAUUGGCAGUGCAGAAACGAAGACAGCAUCGAAAAUUUUACUGCAAGGUUAUGAACCAAGUUUAGAGCCUUACCUGUUGAUGAUUCUUAAGGCCCAUCAGGAUAAUAGGCUGACUGACAUAAGAACUAGAUGUAAGAUUCAUGUUCCGAAAGGCCGUGUUCUUCUUGGUUGUUUGGAUGAAACCGGUGAAUUAGAAUAUGGUCAAGUGUACAUCAGAAUUACAAAGAAUAGCAAAGAGCAGAAGGAUAAUUGUCAGCCGUAUUUUGCUUUAGAUAAUGGAAAAGAGAAAACAGCAGUUGUUGUUGGAAAAGUUGCAGUAUCGAAAAAUCCUUGUCUCCAUCCUGGUGACAUCAGAGUACUUGAAGCUGUCUAUGACCAUGGUUUGUACGCAAAGAACCUGGUUGAUUGUGUUGUCUUCCCCCAAAGAGGAGAAAGGCCUCAUCCAAAUGAAUGCUCCGGGGGCGAUUUGGACGGUGACCUCUAUUUUAUCACUUGGGAUGAGAAACUGAUUCCAGAGGAGGUUGAUUCACCUAUGGACUACACUGCAGCAAGGCCACGCAUAAUGGAUCAUGUUGUUACACUUGAGGAAAUUCAGAAGUACUUUGUGGAUUACAUGAUAAAUGACUCGCUCGGUGCAAUCUCAACUGCUCACUUGGUCCAUGCGGAUCGUCAUCCAAUGAAAGCCCGGAGCCCUGAGUGCCUCCAGCUAGCUGCUUUGCAUUCGAUGGCGGUCGACUUCGCCAAGUCAGGAGCUCCAGCUGAAAUGCCCCGGUCACUGAGACCAAAGGAGUACCCCGACUUCAUGGAACGGUGGGAUAAACCAACGUACAUCUCCAACGGAGCUCUCGGCAAGCUCUACCGAGCGGCUGCGAGCCGUAUGCAGAGCGCUCCUGCCCCCUCGUCUUCGGCUCAAUCGAGCCCCGCGUUUGAUCCUGACCUAGAGGUCCCUGGCUUCGAGGAAUUCCUGGCAUUUGCGGAGGAGUGCUACGACCUGUACGCGGAGAAGCUGAGCACCCUGAUGAGCUACUAUGGCGCGGAGCAUGAGGACGAGAUCCUGACCGGCAACAUCCGAAACAGGCUCCUGUACCUGAAGAAAGACAACAAGAGGUACUUUGAGAUGAAGGACCGCAUCAUCUACUCGGUGGAUGGCCUGCACAAGGAGGUGCAGGGUUGGUUCAGGAGCCGCCCGAAGGCGGAGGCGUCAAGGAGGGCGUCGGCGUGGUACCGUGUGACUUAUCACCCGGACCACCGCCGGCCGGGAAAGAAGCAGUUCUGGAGCUUCCCGUGGAUCGUCUGCGACGAGCUGCUGAAGAUCAAGGAGUCCAGUAAGCGGCGCAGGCAGCAGGUGGACGGCGCAGCGGCCUGA
rnacentral:rRNA from 1 species